GAAUGAUGUGAUGAUUUUGGUUUGAUUUCCAGUGUGAUGGCAUCGACCUUGUGUAUUCGCUCUAUCUGAUCAUUC